rnacentral:rRNA from 1 species
ACCGGCGGCUCGAGUGGUGGCCACUAUUACUGGGCUUAAAGCGUUCGUAGCUGGCUUGUUAAGUCUCUGGGGAAAUCUUCCGGCUCAACCGGAAGGCGUCUCAGGGAUAAUGGCAGGCUAGGGACCGGAAGAGGUGAGGCGUACCCCAGGGGGAGGAUUGAAAUCGCGUAUUCCGUGGGGGAACACCGAUGGCGGAGGCAUCGCACCAGGACAGCUCCCACAUUAAUGAACGAAAGCUGAGGGAGCAAACUG